AUACUACUCCCUCCAUUCGGAAUUACUUGUCACAAAAAUGGAUGUAUCUACAACUAAAAUACAUCUAGAUACAUUCAUUUCUUAGACGAGUAAUUCCGAACUGAGGGAGUACUUG
rnacentral:pre_miRNA from 1 species